rnacentral:rRNA from 1 species
UACGGAGGGUGCGAGCGUUGUCCGGAAUCAUUGGGCGUAAAGGGCGCGUAGGUGGCGGGACAAGCGUGCGGUGAAAGCUCGGGGCUCAACCCCGCGUCGGCCGUGCGAACUGUUUUGCUUGAGCACUGUAGAGGCAGGCGGAAUUCCGGGUGUAGCGGUGGAAUGCGUAGAGAUCCGGAAGAACACCGGUGGCGAAGGCGGCCUGCUGGGCAGUAGCUGACGCUGAGGAGCGAAAGCGUGGGGAGCGAACAGG